GGCUAUUAUUAUAAUUAUAUCCAUAUACCAGGCCUGCAUUAUGAAUACUUCGACUGAAGAGGACCCUAGCUGGUCCUAGAGCGGCCUGAGGUAGAGGGGUUUUAGUCGGUAGGUCCGAGGACUCCUUCUCGGGAAUCCGACACUACCCAGUCGUACGGACGGGUGGGUGUAUUUUGAAGAUUUCCCCUCUUCCACGAAA
rfam:Agrilus planipennis Contig64849, whole genome shotgun sequence.